rnacentral:rRNA from 1 species
GAUUAUGGCUCAGAACGAACGCUAGCGGCAGGCCUAACACAUGCAAGUCGAGCGCGCCCUUCGGGGUGAGCGGCGGACGGGUUAGUAACGCGUGGGAACGUACCCUUUGGUAGGGAAUAGCCACUGGAAACGGUGAGUAAUACCCUAUGAGCCCUCCGGGGGAAAGAUUUAUCGCCAAAGGAUCGGCCCGCGUUAGAUUAGGUAGUUGGUGGGGUAAUGGCCUACCAAGCCUACGAUCUAUAGCUGGUUUUAGAGGAUGAUCAGCAACACUGGGACUGAGACACGGCCCAGACUCCUACGGGAGGCAGCAGUGGGGAAUCUUGGACAAUGGGGGCAACCCUGAAUCCAGCCAUGCCGCGUGAGUGAAGAAGGCCUUAGGGUCGUAAAGCUCUUUCGCCUGUGAAGAUAAUGACGGUAGCAGGUAAAGAAACCCCGGCUAACUCCGUGCCAGCAGCCGC